rnacentral:rRNA from 1 species
UACAGAGGUCUCAAGCGUUGUUCGGAGUUACUGGGCGUAAAGGGUGCGUAGGCGGUUGUUUAAGUUUGGUGUGAAAUCUCCCGGCUCAACUGGGAGGGUGCGCCGAAUACUGAAUGACUAGAGUGCGGGAGAGGAUAGUGGAAUUCCUGGUGUAGCGGUGAAAUGCGUAGAUAUCAGGAGGAACACCGGUGGUGUAGACGGCUAUCUGGACCGUAACUGACGCUGAGACACGAAAGCGUGGGUAGCAAACAGG